CAAGAUAUGGUCUUAUUGAGAUACUGUUACCUCACUGGUUACCAGGAUUUAUUCUGCUGCUCUGGCUGGAUAGUGGGGUGCUGCUUGGCAGACAUCUUGGUGUCUGCCUCUCCCAAAGCUGAAUGUUGGGUAGUGGAAGAUGGCAUUCCCUGAGAGUAAAGACCAUUAUUUCAUAAAAGGAAUACAAGUAGCAAUCCUUCCUCCAAAUAAGCUUGCAGGAAUCAAUAAGUGAAGAACGUUUCUAAGAGCAAAGAGAAAUAUAGUAUUUUCAUCCAGCUAGUUACU
ensembl:misc_RNA 7SK 7SK RNA